AAUAACAGUGUAAGUUAAGACCAAAAAGUAGACCAGGAAAAUACUUUAUUAUCUGUACUAGUUAAUUUCUGAAGAUCAUGUGUCUGUCAUUUAUUCUGUAAUUCACAUCCUUUAAACAAUUAUAACAGCGUGUAUUAUCUCAAUCUAUCAACUAGGAUACAUUAUUUUAUUUGGCUUAAUAAUAUAUUACUGGUAUUUAGUGCGACCGUGCACCUUUCGGUUGCCUCGAGUGUUUUCUAUAUAGCAAUCUUUAACUCGUCAUGUUGCGGGAUUUUCAAAUUCGAAAAGAAGAAGAACAGCAUGAUUUUCGAUUUGGUGACCGUAUUACUUACAGAUAAUUAUACAUUACAUAACCUUACACAAUCAAUUUACUUUUUAUGAUUAUUCUGAUAUGCAUGCCCCAUAUAUGUUAUUCCCAAAACCUUUAAAAAGGAGGAAUCCGGGUCAGGCACAGGGGCUUGUUACCAUUGCCGGGUUUACUAUCCAUACGAACCCCUAAAAAAACACAAGCCCCUGUGGAUAGUUGUCUCAUUGGGCCAAAGGGACAAAUGUCCACAAGAGACCAAAAUGGCCAAAUGUAUGAGCAUAGAAGGUCCGCAAAUAGUCAAAAAAUAACAUAUAUAAGGACCUAUGAGCUACAGUUCCACAGCUAAAAAUGACUCAGACAUUAACAGCUAAAGUCACCAUACAGCCGUCAACAAUGAGCAAAAGCCCAUACCGCAUAGUCAGCUAUAACAGGCCUCGAUAAGUACCGAUUAUCAGGUUAUCUGCAUGUUGAUAUCGUAAAAUAUCAGCUGCAAGACAUCAUAUGAAGCUUUUUGACGAGUGAGCAUAGCGAACGAGAUCAAAAAGCAUUCAUAUGAUGUCAAGCAGCUGAUAUUUUCCAAUAUCAAUAUGCAGAUAAUCUGAUAAUCAAUUUAUCAGGCUAUAUUUGCGUGUUUCAGAAGUGUCUUCUUUGUUUCACCAGCACACACAAGAUGACUUGAUAAGUUCGGGUCAAAGUUAUUAACGUCGGUUCAAACAUUAUGACGUCGCUGAUAUGUCCGGGUCAAAGUUAAUAAGGCGGGGUCAAUGUAUUUGACGUCACAAAGACAUGAUACGAAAUAAUAUUAAGAGCUGAACAGAGUGAUAUAGACAGUGGGACGACCGAUAAGACAUAUGUAAAACAAUUCAAACGAGAAAACUUAAGAUAUGUGCAUUGUUCAUCAUGUUCAUAUUGUAUAUGAAGAUUAAUAAGAUUAAAGUAAACAAUGUGGUAUGUUUCCAAAAUAAAAGCUAUCCACCAAUGACCAACUGAUGUCCAUGCAAUUACUAGCCAUACAAAUGAUACAUACAUGUUGGUCACCAUACUUCCUUCAUUUAUAUUAUGACUAUUGAGUAAAUUUUUCCAAACAUGGCAAACCUGUACAUGUACAUGCUGUUUAUAUACAUAUUACUACAGUUCAAUGACUCAAGUUUUAAAUGCAUAAGCUUAAGGUCAUAACAGAAUUUAAACUAACUAUCAUAAUUGUAUGAACAUCAUGAUGAAUAUUUACAUUCUCUCAAAGAGUUUUAAUUUUACUUAGCUAAUACAGAAGAUGAUGGAUUCCCCAACAGAAAUCUUGAUGAUCGAACGAUUAAGGUGAAAAAAUUGAAGAAUUCCAUCAAUUGUUACAGAGAAUCGAUUUGCAAGCAGAAACAGGUGCUCAAAGAUAAGGGAAUACAACAGCCAUCCAUGAACCUUUACAUGUAAAGUAAGUAGCUGUUCAUGAUGCUUAUAGGCAUAUGCAAUCUAGUCUGGGCAUGUAAAACAGCAGCUGGUUCUAUUUUGAAAAUCUACAAAAUAGAGCUAAGGUCCUUUAAGCCAAGAAACUGCUAGUGUCCGAAGAGGACAAUUUAAGACAGGACAUGAAAAUUGAUUUAAUGUCAAGUUGGAACAGUGAUUCUGUAAAUAAACUCGCCUGAUCACAAGACCUCGGAUUUGACUGAAUCCUACAUGGAUAGACCAAAGUCAUUUACUAGACUGUAAAUACUAGAGGCAGCUGAAAGCACAAGGCACAAAGCUGAGGUCCAAGUAAAUCAGAGAGGCCUUGUCACAAGAAAUGUACAGAACUUGCAUGUUUUUUUUCCUUAUGGGUAUAUGACAAAAUAUUGAGAUAUAUGUCAAUGAAAAUUACUUUGAAUUUAAAAAAGGGCCAAUUCAAUGGUACACUUUUGGAAUUUGCAAGAACAAAAAUACCUUCAUGUUUACUUUUGAAUUAUAGUUGACAAUCUUCACUUUAAGGGGAACCUCUGAAAAUAAGUCCAAUGGAGGGGUUUGGUUUAUUGAAUUCAAUUAUUUUUUAAAGAAAAACAUGAAAUAUUGCUCUUUAAUUUCAACAUUUGCAUUUUGCUACCUGUAUUAAAAUUAUUUACAAGUGCAGCAUAUCCAUGACAUCAGAUUAUGUUAUUGUGUUUGGUUAAGCUACAUAUUUCUUUUUACUUAAACUUUCUGUUGACUUUACUAGUUAAUAAAAUGCUGAAUAAUAAUUUGAGUGUGGCUCAUUCGAGUGUCUAGUAUUUCCUGUCAAUUUUUUUGAUGAUUUUACCAUAUUAUUUAUAAUCCCUUGGUCAAAGGGAGAUAACUUAUUGUAUUUUCACAUUAAAAUGCUGAAAUAUAAUUUGAGUGUGGCUCAUUCCAGUGUCUAGUAUUUGCUG